CCCAUAUUAUCCUUUAUAUUGUAUGUGCCAAAUGCUGAAGCAACAAAAUCAUAUCUGUCUGAAUUAAAAUGCUUCUCUUUGGUCUUUCUACAUCUGCCUCUGACUAAUCCUUUGACUGCAGAGGAAGACAUGCAUGAAGACAAUAGAGUGAAUUACACCAGGGAUGAAUUUGGUUUAAGCCGUUUACUUGCCGUGAGAAGUUUCCACAUCAGAGUAGUAGUGCAUCUCCAGCAGAAGCACAGAUUUGUUCCCCGAAUUUCUGUUUGUUCCUUGGAAAUUACAGGUUUGACCUUCCAAGCAUCUUUGAAUGCACUGCCUGACCUUGAGUCUGCCUAUGCUUGCAACCUAAGAGGGUACCCAUCAACUCAAGGCUGGAGCCUUUCUGUAAGUUUUUACCAUAUCAGGAGUAAAAAUUACAAGGGAACUUAUUCCAGAGUUAGGUUGCAGUUCUCAAAUGGGCAGAAAAUGGGAAAUAACGAACAGAGAUGGAGUGAAGGAAAAGAAAAGUAAAGUGACAAAUGGACAUGAUUU
rnacentral:lncRNA from 1 species